UGAGGAAUAUUGGUCAAUGGGCGGGAGCCUGAACCAGCCAAGUCGCGUGAGGGAAGACGGUACUGAGUAUUGUAAACCUCUUUUGUCAGGGAGCAACGGCACCCACGAGUGGGUGUGUGAGCGUACCUGAAGAAAAAGCAUCGGCUAACUCCGUGCCAGCAGCCGCGGUAAUACGGAGGAUGCGAGCGUUAUCCGGAUUUAUUGGGUUUAAAGGGUGCGCAGGCGGUUCGUCAAGUCAGCGGUAAAAUGUCGGGGCUCAACCCCGGCCGGCCGUUGAAACUGGCGGACUAGAGUUGGAGAGAAGUAUGCGGAAUUCGUGGUGUAGCGGUGAAAUGCAUAGAUAUCACGAAGAACUCCGAUUGCGAAGGCAGCAUACCGGCUCCAUACUGACGCUCAGGCACGAAAGCGUGGGUAUCGAACAGG
rnacentral:rRNA from 1 species